GGCUAACCCUGAAGUUAGCUAACCAUGAAGUUGCUUCUUAGUUCUUAAAAGCAGCAAAAAGACAUAAGGAACACAGGAUAUCCUCAGGAGUCUCCUUUCCAAUUUGUCAUUUGGCAGAAUGCUAUGUGAAAAAUGGGUUGCUCCUACUAAGCUCUUCUUUGCUUUUUAGUUUUUAUUUUUGAAUUCUUAAUGGACUUGGUCAUACUUAGGCAGGAGAACAUGACUGUCAGCCAAAUAUUCUUCUCUAGUAGAGAUUUAUUAUAAACAGUAUAAAUGCAACUUGGUUUCACAAUUUUCGUCUCCCCCGAAGGAAAAAAAAAAAUCUCCAUUUUAUUAACUUGGUUAAGUUUAUGAGAGGAGAAAGUGCAUAGACAGAAAAAGAGGAGGAGAGAAAAAAGAGUUAUGACAUCCCAUAGCCUUGCCCAUCAGUGACUUCAUUUCAGUAAACACCUUGGUAUUACCCAAAGCUCAGACUUUAUUCCUGAUGACAAUUCAUAUCUAAGGACAAGUUCUGGAGAAAAGUGGGGGAGGCGUAUUGCUUUGCUAGCAAAGUAGAAACACAGGACUAUUAUCCCAGGAUGUAAUUCUGUCAAAUUGUACAGAAGACUUUUAAAGAGGUGGUUUACUCUAAGAUAUCAUCUCACUCCAGUCAGAAUGGCAGCUAUUAUGAAAAAUAUUUUUUAAAAAGUGUUGGCGAGGAUGUGGGGGAAAAGAUACACUCAUAAAUUGCGGGUGGAAUUGCAAAUUGGUGCAGCCAAUAUGGAAAGCAGUUUGGAGGUUCCUUGGAAAUCUGGGAAUACAAACACCAUUUGACCCAGCUCUCCCUCUCCUCAAUUGAUACCCAAAAGACAUCACACUACAAGGACACAGCCACAUCAAUGUUUACAGCAGCACAAUUCACAUUAGCUAAACUGUGGAGCCAACCCAGAUGCCCUUCAGUGGAUGAAUGGAUAAAAAAAAUGUGGCAUAUAUACACAAUGGAAUUUUACUCAGCAAUAAAAGAGAAUAAAAUCAUAGCAUUUGCAGGUAAAUGGCUGGCAGUUGGAGAAGAUAAUGGUAAGUGAAGUUAGCCAAUCCCAAAUAAAAAUAUUUUCUCUGAUAUAAGGAGGCUGACUCAUAAUGGGGUAGGGAGGGGGAACAUGGGACAAAUAGAUGAAUUCUAGAUAGGGAAGAGGGAAGGGAGAGUAAAGGAGGAGCGGGGGAUUAGCAAGGAUGGUGGAAUGUGAUGGACAUCAUUAUCCAAAGUACAUGUAUGAAGAUACAAAUUCGGUAUCAACCUACUUUAUAAUACAAACAGAGAUAUGAAAAAUUGUGGUAUAUAUGUGGAAUAAGAAUUGUAAUGCAAAAAAAAAC
rnacentral:lncRNA from 1 species